GGGAAGUCAGCGGCGCCUGCGCGGACGCCUCAGCCUCAGGAUGCGCGCGCAGCGCUCUCCGCCCAGCGGAAGUUUUCGCUGGGCAACUGAGAAGGUCGCUGUCAAGAUGGAGUUUCCAACCCAGUAAAUCCAAGGGCCAGACCGUGACCUCAUAAAGCAUGAUCUCCUUCUGUCCAGACUGUGGCAAAAGUAUCCAAGCAGCAUUCAAAUUCUGCCCCUACUGUGGAAAUUCUUUGCCUGUAGAGGAGCAUGUAGGGUCCCAGACCUUUGUCAGUCCACGUGUGUCAUCCUUCCAAGGCUCAAAGAGAGGGCUGAACUCCAGUUUUGAAAUCUCUCCUAAGAAAGUGAAAUGGUCCAGCACCGUCACCUCUCCCCGAUUAUCCCUCUUCUCAGAUGGUGACAGUUCUGAGUCUGAAGAUCCUCUGAGUUCCUCUGAGAGAUCCAAAGCCGAUACUGGUCUCUAGGAAGCUUCUCUUGAGUGCCAUAGGCUCGCAUCCAGACCU
rnacentral:sRNA from 1 species